rnacentral:rRNA from 1 species
UACGAAGGGGGCUAGCGUUGUUCGGAAUUACUGGGCGUAAAGGGCGCGUAGGCGGCUCUGAUCGUCGGAUGUGAAAGGCCUGGGCUCAACCUGGGAAUUGCAGUGGAUACUGGCAAGCUAGAGUGCGGUAGAGGAUGGUGGAAUUCCAGGUGUAGCGGUGAAAUGCGUAGAUAUCUGGAGGAACACCGGUGGCGAAGGCGGCAUCCUGGACCGACACUGACACUGAGGAGCGAAAGCCAGGGGAGCAAACGGG